rnacentral:lncRNA from 1 species
GACUUCACGAUCUCCUUCGCCUUGGGGCACGAGUGGUCGUAGAACUGCGGGAACAGGCCGCCCCACGGGUGGCCAUGGACGCCGCCGGCGAGGAGGAGGGGAGCGACGAGGAGGCAGGUGAGGAGGACGAGGCGACCAUCCAUGGAAGCCGCCAUGGCAGUGCCAAGUGAAGAUCAAAGAGAGAUCAGCUUUGCUGUACUUGUGCUUCGAUCUCUUCUUGUGAGGAUGGUUGGAUGAAGUAGUGGCGCGUGGGGUGGUGUAUAUAUAUAUAGACAUAGUAGCUGCAGCCUGCAGGAAGGUGGUGCGGGUGGUGCAGUCGAUGGAAGGAGAGGAACCAGGGUGCAGUGGUUCGGAGCAGGGGACGGUGGGAUCGGGUGCGGCAGGGCAGCUGGGGCUGUUGGGGACGAUGCGUGCGAAUCAAGUGAGCUAUCCAGGGUCAACGCAGCACGGCCCCGCGCCCAACGGCAACUGCUACAGUAAUUCUGCCAGGUUUGGAGUGCUAACGGCGGCCGUAGUUUCUGUUUGGGCGUCCGUUUGAGCUCAAAUUAAAGAGACUGAGUUUUAUUUUUAUCCUAAAAUUAAACUAUGUGUUGAAUUGAGAAGAUGCUAUCAUGAAUUGCUGAUUAUGCUGCUCAUUUAGGCACGCGCAUGAUACGACAUAUCUUUUUUUUAUAAAAAAAGUUAAACACUCGAACAAUACAAUGAGACUAUGAGAGUACAACUUUUAAUAGAAAAUGUGUUUGUGAAUUACUGAUUUGUGCAACACUUUCUGCUGGAUCUGGGAUCCUUCCAGCAAUGUCACUUUAAGUUUAAACCUAGUUAUAUUAUAUAGAAACAGAGAUCAACUCUAUACAUAAGGGUAGUACCGUGGGAGGUCCACUUCUAAUAUUUACUUUCUCCGUCCUAAAUUUCAAGUGCAUAUUUUUUUGCUGUGCACUUAAAUAUAUGUUAUGUCUAAAUACAUAGCAAAACUUAUACCUAGAAAAGCUGAAAUGACCGACGUACAAUUUAAAGAGGGAGUAUGAUCAUCCUACCAUACUUAAGCUCGCUUAGCACAUGACAAUAGAACGAACAUAUCUUCAAUGUGUGAAACCAAGCAACCAAUGCAAAGAGCAGACUAGCUUAGGCAAAAGUGUGGUGUUGCUUCCCAAUUAAUGUAGCUACAUAUAUAUGUAUAUACAUAUAUACUUUUGUCAUACACAAUCGUCUUUACAGGUUGAACAGUAUUAUCAAAGAAGACCAUAUGAAUGAUGACUGACCCCAUGGGGCUUUUCUUUUAAUUUUUAGUGGUUGGUGAUCACGCAUGUAACAUGGAUACGUAUCCUUGUCUCUGUGCACAAAAGUAUUAUGGUACAGUGCACGCCGCACCUUUUCCCCCUACCAUUCAGAUCACAAAGGGGUUCUACAAUGUGGUUUCUGUGAUCAUCCGCCUGGAGAGCAGCCGUGGAUUCCGUCGAACUUUUUUAUAGUACACAAUACUACUUAAUGCUCUAUAGUUUAUAUAACAUCUAACCGUUUAUUAUUAUAGAUAAUUUAGUAACUAUUACAUUGUAAAAAAUGAUAUUUCAAAUGGAAUAAUUUUUUUAAACAUUAUGCUAAUGUUAAAAAUAAAAUUAUAGUUAUGCCAUUUAUAUUUUUUUACCAUGAUAGUUUUAUACUACCUCUACUCCUAAUGUAUACUACCCAUACCAGAUGUGAAUGUUUCAGUAGUAUAUGUUUAAUCUUGAUCGUCGGAUAUUUUUAUAUUAUCCUUCUCAAACGCUAGUAUAACCUAGUAUUGUCCUGUCGGGUCAAACGUGCGGCGUGAUGUACCAACUCUGAUCAAACGGUGCAUUAUGAUUGCUUGCAUUGGCUUCAUUACAUUCGUGUUCUCAUCACAAGCAGGUUCCUGGAAGUAGCGACUGUCUGAAAGCUUCCACAUUGGUGCUGUGCAGAUCGAACACGGAUCAGUGGCCGUUUCUUGAAGAAAACAACACCUUCGCUUGUUACUGUCAGAAGACAGUUUAUCACACUAGAAAAAAAAGCUUUAUUCGAGGGAAAUAAGGAGAAAGUAGACAGAUAGUGGUCAACAGCUGUAUUCAUUGUCAUUCAUAACAAGGCUAGGGGGAGAAGCAACAUGGAGAAAAUUCAAUGAGAUGUUUCAAUGUGGUUUAUCUUUGUUUUGCACGAGAUGUAUGUUUAGCGUAUUGAUUAUUGAUCAUUAUUGUUAUUUGUAUAUUUCUGUGGAACAUAGUUUAUUCCAAUAUGGUACUGGAGCUAGUAAAUAAAAACUUAUAAGCCCUACCGUCUUAUUAGCAACUAGAAAUAGCAUGCCACAUGCCUCAAAACAGGAUACGCAAACUUAGUGUCCCUAUUGCUAAGGAUGUACAUAGGCACCCAUUUGUGUUUUCUGGGGGGUUAGCCGAUUAGUUACGCUAGCAAGCCAUUCAAGAUCAUCUCUCCUCCUAAAUCAAUUAUGUGGAAUGCUAUUUUAGUUCAUUUUUUCAAGUUUCUAGGUCGAUAUAUCAAUGACCCAAAAUGAUUAGGACAUGCAUCCCUAUCUAUUGCUCACCCCCUAAGACCAGCAGCAGACCAAAGAAAAGUGACAUGAUCUCAAAGGGAACCAGCUCAUUAUUUGACUUCUGCUGUGUUAGACCGCUCCUGAGUGAUAUAUUAUAAUCUUGUCUCAUGUUCGUCCCAGUCUCAUUUUACUCCAGAAUUCACACUUAACUACAGCAGUCAGCAGCAAUCAUGCUUUCUGUGCAGGAAAACCACAGGUUGAACAGGCCCCACAUGUCUUCGAAGUUAACCAACACUAUUUUUCAUCCUUUUUUCUAGUACAUCUGAACAAUAAUUUGUGAGUGAUUUCAUUAGUAUAUAUCGGUGCAUGUAUGAAUGAUUAAAUGUAUGAUUAUAUGCUGAUUAAUAUAUUAUUCUGAUCUGAUGUUCCUUUUACCAACCUGUCGUGGUAGUGACAUUUCGUGUAUGAGCAAGCAUAAUUUGCUUGUAAUUUAUGAGCAAGCAUAGAUUAAAUUAAUUAAAGGGUAAUCACAGGAAAAUAUCUUUCAAGUAUUAUGUGUGGUCAAAAAUACACUUUGGAUAAUUAGCUUCAUGUUGGAUUAUAUUACCCCAUUUCACUAUUUUGCUACCACGUCAAACAUUACCCUUUUUUUUCCCUCUCUUGUUACAUUAUUACUAUGAUUAGAGCGUGCACGAAGAGAAGACUUUUGACCUUAUUGUAAUAAAGCUUUGUGAGUAUAUAAUGAGCUCCUUACGCUACGACUGAUGUGUUAGGCGCGUACUUUAUGAUUGUGAUACUAUAGCUGAGACUCAGUUGAUCAUAGGAGAAAACAAGUCCAACUCACUGCUUUCUAGACUAUUGGAGACUGCCCUUGGCUUCAAAGACAUGACUCAUUUCAUUUUAUUAAUAUGUUUUCUUUGUCAUAAAAUUGUUUUGCUAACUGUGAUAUGCAUUGUUGCUUAAAGAAGGAUCAGAGGUGUACGCUUCUAAGCUUCUCUAGAGUUAACAGCACUUCACACGACAUGAGAAGCGUGAGAUAGAUUAAGGGUCUGUUUGUUUGAGCUGUAGCUUUUGAACUUUUCUGAGAAACUGUUGUUGCCUUUUAGUUCUGAAAAGCUAACGUUAGCUUUUAGAAGAUGCAUUUAGCUUUCUGAGCUCAGAAAGCUACAAAAAGCUCAUAAAACUGAGUUUUCCAACUUCCCAUAUAAACUCAGCUUUUCUGAGCUUCCAGCUUUCCGGAAGCUGCGCUAGAAAUUCGUUGUUUGUUUGAUUUUCUAGCUUUUCACACUGAGAAACUGUCAGGAAGCUUAAACAAAUAGGCUCAGAAACUGUUUUGUCAUGAGCAUGCUAUCUAUUCGAUGUUAUACCUGCAUAGAAAAAGAGCAAAAAUAAAAUCUAUUAAUGUGAGGAAUAAAUAUAAAAGGCUGGUACAUUGUUGGGCCAUGCAAAUACUAAGGUAGUUCUAUGUUACUGAACACGUCCAUUUUUUAAAUAAGACUGACACACAUCUUCAAAUGGACCGUUAUAUUGGAUUACACAAUAGUACCUUGAUUUAAGCAUUUUAUACAUCGAGGUGACUGAGGAAUUACACUGAGAAUCGACAUAUAAAUAUUUAAGCAAUAGAUGUAACACCUUUAAAAAACAAAAAGAGUGAAAAAAGAGAGAUCAAACUGCAUCAUCCGGCCUAGCCCUACGUGACGCCCUAGAACCGAUGCAAUGCUCUACUGAUGGGCUCCACCCUAAUCCAAUUUGUUAAAACUCGAGAAAGGUAAAACAAGUUUAUAUUAAAAACAUCGAGCCAUGAAAGCACAUGAACUAACCUUAUCAUCACCUUUAUUAAGAAAGAUCACAUCUAGCAAGCUGCUCCACAUAUACAAUCAUAAACCCAUGACCCUAAGUUGCCAAGAAGGAAGAUAUUAAAGUACACAAACACAGUACAAUCAUGUAAGCUCAAAUCAGGGAUCUGCAAAUUGUAACCAAGCAACUCGUGUUCCCUUUGAUCCAUAUGGCCGGCCUUUUCACCUGCCCCCCCGCCGGCAACUAAUCAGGAUUGGCCACAGACUAUGGGCAACCACUUGACUUUUGACUUUGAGGUGGGCGUCAAUCAUAUGGGGUCAUGUGACCUAACUAAGUGGUUAUCCUUGCUUGAUCUCGUCUCUUCUUGGUUCAAGGUUUAACUUUCUUAAUUUAGUUCUUUCAUGGUCUUGUAUAUCUUGCUAUUCGGUCACAUGAGAAAAUUACUCUGCAAACCAGCUGAAAAUAUAAGUCUGGCUCUGGCAUUUAGUUUUGUGGGUAGAAAAUAGAGUAAGUGUCACCAUCUCGGCUGUUAGGGUAUAUAUGCACCUAGUAAUUGAGGAUACUAAAACAAACCAUAAUGGUGGUAAAUAAUCGGGAAUGGAGCAAUUCUGGGUUGGUUGUACGCGUCAUUUAGCGCCCAUAAAAUCACUCUCUUAUAGUGAACGCUAAAGUACCCAACUUAAUUUGAGAGGCAAAAGGAAAAUGGUUUCCCUUAAAUUGUCUCCCAAGGUUGACCUUGACACUAUCAAACUUUGGGCAUAAAUCUGUUAGAAUAGAUUAAUUGUGUUACUCUCGUCCCAAAAAUAUAGUUGUUUUUUAUUUGAAUCCUAAAUACAACAUUCUUUCUUUCACCAACAUUAUCUCUCAAAAUAACUUACUCAAUAGAAAAAAAUUACAUAUUAUGAUAGUUGCUUUCAUGAUGAAUCUUCUAACAUCAUUUUUCACAUUGCCAAUCUUUAUAAUAUUUUUUUUACUAUUCACAGUCAAAGUUAAAAUGGUUUGACUUAAGAUAAACCUAAAUGCAGGGAUGGAGGGAUCCGUUACCAUGGCCACAAUAUAUACAUGAAAGUGCUCAGGUGUCAUGAGUUCCAUAUAUGACACACUUAACAAUAUAGUUCCAUACCGAUAUGAUGGAUGUAAUUGUUUGUAUAAAAAAAAGCACUUUGCGAGUACAACAGAUCGGGAGUUCCAUCUUUUCCCUGCAUCAAGUUGAAGAGUGCUGGUCUGCUGAAUGAGCAUGAUGGCCCUAGACAGAGCUAGCCUGCUUUAGUCCUUUUAUGUGACGACUGACGUCUGACUGGUCACGACGAUGUCGACGUAUCCGUGGUACGUUGCACUGAUCCAUUAACUCAUCAGAACGCCACAUGAUCAGCUCCAAAAGACACUGGUGUGCAGCAAGGUGGUGGAGUCAAUUCAUCCACUGGGGAUUCCUUGUUGUAACCAAACAGACAGAAAAGAACAAGCUUCCAUUUAUCCCGGCUUUCACGCAUCGAAUGGAACAUUCUUUCUUUUACACUAUAAUGAAAAGCAUUUGCAGUCCCCGGUCAUGCUGCUGGUUAGCAGCUUAAUCGGGCGUCAAGCCGUUCAUGAUUAUUCAAUCAAAACAUGUCAUCAACAUCAACACCAACAUACAAAUCCAACACUCUCCACAAAUAAAACGGUCAAGCAGCGCCCUCCUGAUCAGUAGUGGUUGCCGUUGAGCCUCCUGCAGUUCUUCCUGACCUCCCCCUGCGCCCCGGUGAGCGGCGAGACGUUGCCCAUCUUCACCAUCGACUGCGCGAAGUGCUGGAAGAAGAAGUUGACGUCGGCGGCGUAGGCCUUGACGAGCGCCGCCGUCUCGGCGCUCUUCGUCAGCAGGACCUCGUCGGAGCUGAGCAGGCCCUUGCCGACGAGGAGGUUCUUGAAGUAAUAGUUGUCGAACUUGGUGGGGGUGGCGAGGUCCAGCGGGAAGAGGUUGUCGUCGCCGCCGGAGCGCGGGCAGCCCUGCCUCAGGUGCGCGGCGUAGGAGGCGUCCAGCGUGAAGUCGGCCAUGCCGUUGCCCGUCUGGUUGUACAGCCGCUGCCGGAAGCUGGUGCAGCGGGAGAGGCCGAUGGUGUGGGCGCCGGAGAGCGCGACGACGUCGACGACGUCGAGGCCCUGGCGCCGGAACUUGGUGAUGAUGGUGGGGAGGGUGUUGUUGGGCGCCGGGAUGUCGUUGUUGGAGCCCUGGAUGCUGGCGCCCAGCGAGUCCCGCCGCCCCAGCGGCACGUCCCAGUAGGGGCCGCCAACCUGCGGCCGGGGUCAGUAGCUAGUUGAGAUCACUAAGAAUAUAUAUAAUAAUCGUGGUCGUUUCUGCUGCUUACAAGGAGGGUGGAGUCGCGGGCGGCGAGGGCGAGGAUGUCGGCGCAGGAGACGGUGCCGGGGCAGGCGUGCUCCAGGGUGACCUUGAUCUCGUCGAUCACCUCGAAUCCUCUGGCGGAGUUCCUGUUGGGGUUGGACCCUUUCUCGCUCACGAUGCCGGUGCUGUUGUCCAGCAGUAUAGAGGCGUCGCAUCCCUGCACACAGAGAAAGAUAGUGACAGAGAAGAUUACUAGUUAGAUUAGGCGCAUGAGAGUCAUUAGAAACAUGCCUUGAAUGGAAUAUCAAAAUUUCACACAUGUUGAGGCUGUCAAUUAUUGUGUAGUCAUAUUUUUUUCAUAGUAAAUAAUUAAAUAAACGAAGGAUUGAUGAACCAUGGUACAAAUAAAGUGGCGUGCUCCUCUUGGAAAUGUAGGUAGGCUAUCUUAUCACUGAUACGGUAAAAGAAAAGUUAGCCUAGGAACUGCAGAUUCUUCCAUGCUGACUUUUCCAAUACCUACGCACAUAUAUAGAAAAAAAGUUGGAGUUGUAGACUGCACUUUAAGUGAUGUGUUUAUGCAGAUGAAGUUGGUAAAUAGGCACAAUAAUCAUUGAAUUUUUAGUGCCUCAUCAUAUGUUUGUUUGGAUUUCAAAAAUAAUUUUGUACGGAUCACGUACAGUUCCAUUGUACUAAACACAGAAGCCAAAACUUUAUGGUACGAAACGUUGCUGAUUAGCUAUAGUGCGCUUCGGGAACUACAAGUUUAUCAGGCGUCACAAUAGUGCAAAACAUGCAAACAAUAAGAUACAGUAGCAAAGAGCUAGGAAAGCAGUAGCAACCUGGACAAAGCAGUCAUGGAAAUGCAGCCUGACGAGCGACGCCGCCAUCCUGGUCUCCCUGGCGACGGCCUGCGCCACGAUGGACUUCACGAUCUCCUUCGCCUGGGGGCACGAGUGGUCGUAGAACUGCGGGAACAGGCCGCCCCACGGGUGGCCAUGGACGCCGCCGGCGAGGAGAAGGGGAGCGACGAGGAGGCAGGUGAGGAGGACGAGGCGACCAUCCAUGGAAGCCGCCAUGGGAGCGAAGUGACCCAACAGAUCUUCUUGCACAGUGCUCUGAAACUCACAAGUAGAGAAGAGAGCUUCUGUGCUUUGG